rnacentral:rRNA from 1 species
AGAAGUUUGAUCCUGGCUCAGGAUGAACGCUAGCGGCAGGCCUAAUACAUGCAAGUCGGACGGGAUUGAAGAGCUUGCCUUUUCAUGAGAGUGGCGCACGGGUGCGUAACACGUUAUGUAACCUACCUUCGUCAGGGGGAUAGCCUCUCGAAAAGAGAAGAUUAAGACCGCAUAACAUUGCAAUGUGGCAUCACAAAGCAAUCAAAUAUUUAUAGGACGAAAGAAUGGGCAUGCGGAACAUUAGCUAGUUGGUAAGGUAAUGGCUUACCAAGGCUACGAUGUUUAGGGGAUCUGAGAGGAUGACCCCCCACACUGGUACUGAGACACGGACCAGACUCCUACGGGAGGCAGCAGUAAGGAAUAUUGGUCAAUGGGCGGAAGCCUGAACCAGCCAUGCCGCGUGCAGGAAGACGGCCCUACGGGUUGUAAACUGCUUUUGC